rnacentral:lncRNA from 1 species
GUACUUGCCAAGAGGAUAAAAAUCGAAUUCAACAAUCAAUCUACUACACUAGCAAGGUGCUUCACAAUGCCGAAGUAAGAUAUUCAAGAGUGGAGAAGAUGAUCUACACUCUAAUCAUAUUAUCACAAUGACUUCGCCCAUACUUUUAAGCACAUCCUAUUAUCAUCUUGACAGAUCAGUCGUUGAAGGUAAUUUUGCACCGACCUGAUACUUUAGAUCGAAUGGCAA